rnacentral:rRNA from 1 species
AUUAAACGCUGGCGGCAUGCCUUACACAUGCAAGUCGAACGGCAGCACGGGGGCAACCCUGGUGGCGAGUGGCGGACGGGUGAGUAAUACAUCGGAACGUGCCCUGGAGUGGGGGAUAACGCAGCGAAAGCUACGCUAAUACCGCAUAUUCUGUGAGCAGGAAAGCAGGGGAUCGCAAGACCUUGCGCUUUGGGAGCGGCCGAUGUCGGAUUAGCUAGUUGGUGGGGUAAAGGCCUACCAAGGCGACGAUCCGUAGCGGGUCUGAGAGGAUGAUCCGCCACACUGGGACUGAGACACGGCCCAGACUCCUACGGGAGGCAGCAGUGGGGAAUUUUGGACAAUGGGCGGAAGCCUGAUCCAGCCAUGCCGCGUGAGUGAAGAAGGCCUUCGGGUUG